GGGGUACACGAGCGGCGAACGGGUGAGUAACACGUGGGUGAUCUGCCCUGCACUCUGGGAUAAGCUUGGGAAACUGGGUCUAAUACCGGAUAUGACCACAGCAUGCAUGUGUUGUGGUGGAAAGAUUUAUCGGUGCAGGAUGGGCCCGCGGCUAUCAGCUUGUUGGUGGGGUAAUGGCCUACCAAGGCGACGACGGGUAGCCGACCUGAGAGGGUGACCGGCCACACUGGGACUGAGACACGGCCCAGACUCCUACGGGAGGCAGCAGUGGGGAAUAUUGCACAAUGGGCGGAAGCUGAUGCAGCGACGCCGCGUGAGGGAUGAAGGCCUUCGGGUUGUAAACCUCUUUCAGCAGGGACGAAGCGUGAGUGACGGUACCUGCAGAAGAAGCACCGGCUAACUACGUGCCAGCCGCCGCGGUAAUC
rnacentral:rRNA from 1 species